rnacentral:lncRNA from 14 species
UUCAGCCCCUGCAUCCCGCUGAGAUGGGACCGUGUCCCAGGGUGGGGGACACCCAAACAGCCCCAUCCCCUGCUGAUGGGGACCUGUCCUGCUCCCCUCACAGAGGUGGUCACCACCAAGGAAGAAGAGGUCCAGGAAGUGGUGACUGCCCAACCUAUCCAGCCGGAGAGCAGCAUGUUGGAGCAUGAUGAUGGUGACGAUGACGGUGAUGAUGACAGUGAUGCUGACAGCAACCUGGGAGAGCCCUGGAUCUUCAAGAAGUGGUUUGGCCGCUCAGUACCAGGGGAUGAGGAGGAGGAGGAGGAUGAGCAUAAGGAGGAGGAUGAGCAUAAGGAAGAGGUUGAGCAUAAGGAAGAAGAUGAGCAUAAGGUUGAGGAUGAGCAUAAAGAUAAGAAUGAGGCUGAGCACAAAGAUGAGGAUGAGCAUCAGGAUGAGGAUGAAGAGCCCACAGAGGAGCCCACGGAUGUGCCUGAGGUGACCCCAGCUGUGACAGAGCUGAAGAAGAGCAGGGAGAAGAAGCUGGAGAAGAAGGAGGAGAGGGCCCGGGAGGCCCAUGCGGAGCGGAGCAGCCGCAGGGAGGCACGAGCCAAGGACCGGGCACAGGGGGACAGGCCCAGCAGAGCCCCCAGGACCCACCGGGAACCGGAGCAGCAGCCCCAGAGGAAGCGGGGCCGGGAGGGGAGGGAGGGCAGGAGGGAGCGGGAUGAGCCCAGGAGGGAGGGAUCGAGGGGACGCCCCGGCCGGGAGGGCCCAAAGCGGGACUGGAGGCAGCAGAAGGGCAGGAAGCCAUGGGAGGAUGGCCCAGCCCGGCCCAGGGAGGGCAAGAGACGCGACUGAGGCCGAGGCAACCGAGGGGCUCCGUGAUGCUGAAUGCAGUGGGAUCCGAGCCUGGCAGUGCCACCCUGCGGCUCCCUGCUCUCCAGAGCCGCCUGGGCACCGGCAGCAGGUCCAGGCUCACCCCGCAGCAGGUCCAGGCUCACCCCGCAGCAGGGAGCCUGGCUCAGCCUCCUGAGGACUUUGAGCCCCCCUUGGAUUAGAUGCACAAAUGCAACCAGAAAGGACCGGGGAAGGAGCUUCUCUCCCCCCUCUCCCUCCCCGGCCUUGGUGCAGCUUCUCCAUCCCACCCCAAAUCUCUCUUGCAGCCCAUUUUCCCUCCUGGUCCUGAGGCAUCAGGACCACACCAUGGGCACAGGGACCCCAGUGAACACAGUUUGUCUCCAGACGGUGUAGCUCUUAGGGAAUGCUUUUAUUCAAAGCAAAUCAAGAGAGAAAUCCCAUUCUGGGUGAAGGAGCCAUCCUCAGAGAGGUGCCAGAGGAGCAAUCACCUCACCAGGCCCUGGUGCUGUCGCUGCAGGGUGGCACAAAGCUCUGCUGGGAGAAACCAGGGCUGGAGAGCCCAUCACCGGGGGUCCCUUCAGGCCUUGCCUUCACAGAGUCGCUUUUAGGAACGAAACACAAGUGCAAUAUCCCGCAGCGCUGUAGCAGCUACAGGAGACGUUCAGAGCCCCGGCCCGCGGCAGGAUUAAGGAUGUGCUAAAUCAGUGCAGGUUAAAAUAAACUGUUUUCAUUUUUAAUAAGGUGUGGUGUU